rnacentral:rRNA from 1 species
UACAGAGGGUGCGAGCGUUGUUCGGAAUUAUUGGGCGUAAAGGGCGCGUAGGCGGUGCGGUAAGUCACCUGUGAAAUCUCCUGGCUCAACUGGGAGCUUGCAGGCGAAAACUGCCGUGCUGGAGUGUGGGAGAGGUGAGUGGAAUUCCCGGUGUAGCGGUGAAAUGCGUAGAUAUCGGAAGGAACAUCAGUGGCGAAAAGCGGCUUCCUGGUCCAGCACCGACGUCAGGCACGAAAGCGUGGGGAGCAAACAGG